rnacentral:rRNA from 1 species
CACACCACGAGAGUUUGUAACACCCGAAGUCGGUGAGGUAACCUUUAUGGAGCCAGCCGCCGAAGGUGGGACAGAUGAUUGGGGUGAAGUCGUAACAAGGUAGCCGUAUCGGAAGGUGCGGCUGGAUCACCUCCUUUCUAAGGA